rnacentral:rRNA from 1 species
CAGUCGCCGCGGGAAUACGUAGGGGGCAAGCAUUGUCCGGAAUUAUUGGGCGUAAAGCGCGCGCAGGCGGUUUUUUAAGUCUGGUGUCUAAGUGCGGGGCUCAACCCCGUGACGCACUGGAAACUGGGAGACUUGAGUGCAGAAGAGGAGAGCGGAAUUCCACGUGUAGCGGUGAAAUGCGUAGAGAUGUGGAGGAACACCAGUGGCGAAGGAGGCUCUCCGGACUGUAACUGACGCUGAGGCGCGAAAGCGUGGGGAGCAAACAGGAUUAGAUACCCGCGUAGUCCCUGUCUCUUAUACA